rnacentral:rRNA from 1 species
UGGGGAAUUUUGGACAAUGGGCGAAAGCCUGAUCCAGCAAUGCCGCGUGUGUGAAGAAGGCCUUCGGGUUGUAAAGCACUUUUGUCCGGAAAGAAAUCCUUGGCUCUAAUACAGUCGGGGGAUGACGGUACCGGAAGAAUAAGCACCGGCUAACUACGUGCCGGCAGCCGCGGUAAUACGUAGGGUGCAAGCGUUAAUCGGAAUUACUGGGCGUAAAGCGUGCGCAGGCGGUUUGCUAAGACCGAUGUGAAAUCCCCGGGCUCAACCUGGGAACUGCAUUGGUGACUGGCAGGCUAGAGUAUGGCAGAGGGGGGUAGAAUUCCACGUGUAGCAGUGAAAUGCGUAGAGAUGUGGAGGAAUACCGAUGGCGAAGGCAGCCCCCUGGGCCAAUACUGACGCUCAUGCACGAAAGCGUGGGGAGCAAACAGGAUUAGAUACCCUGGUAGUCCACGCCCUAAAACGAUGUCAACUAGUUGUUGGGGAUUCAUUUCCUUAGUAACGUAGCUAACGCGUG